ACCCAUUACAGUAUAAAAAAAUGAUCCCAACGGCGUCAAUUCCAGGUUAAAGAUAGACGAAAACCAACUACUUUCAUGUGUCUUCUACCUCUCUCUGCCCCCAGUACAAUUACGUACGAAGAACACUGCGGAUAGCGAGAUCUCGUGCAUCUUCUCAUCGUUGUUCGAAAUCAAGCGCCCAGAUCGUUGUUCCAUGGAGGAAUUGUGCAAUUUUGUAUAGAUUCCAAGAUGUCCAACCUUAGCUCUUAAGAUAAUACAAAAUUUGAAUUUGGAAUUGGUCCUGAUUUUCCCCCAUUUUCCCAAAAGACCUCCGCUGUUUAAAUCCCAUUCUAAUUUUUUGAUAGAGGCUGGGGGAAGUAUGGGAAAAGAUUUUCGGGUAGAGAGAUUUUUGGGAGGUAGGAAAAUUUGUAGAUAUAAAAUACAUAGAAUUUAAGUAAAACGGCAAGAACAUAUUGCAAAACACAUCAAAGAAAACGGUCCAGUUUCUGAGAAGGCUAGUUGUUGGUUUGACUUGUAAAUUUCCGCAAGGAUUUCUUGUUUGUGAUUUCACUUUAAUGGUGGAAGGAUUACAAGUGCUAGCUCGCUGUCUCUGUUUGUUGUAACGGAAAAGUUCACUAUGAAUUCUUUUCUUCGUCUCACAUUCCUAUAGAGAGCCGCCAAGUCUCAAAUUCCUCUAUCGAGUCAAGCUGACCAGACGACGUACGAACCGAGAAGUUGAAGAUUUUUGCUUGGAAAGCCCAAUUUGUUUCCCUGAACUACGUAUUUUGUUAUUUUUGGGUCUAAGCCCUUUUUUCCUUUAUCAAUAUUGUAUUGUUAGAAUUUCAGAACCUGGGGAUAUGGGCUAAAGGCCCAAAACAAGUUUUAGCCUAUGUUUUAGCCUAUCAAUAUUGUUGUUUUUGAAUAUGUUUCUCUAUUUGAAGAUGUUCUAGCCUA